rnacentral:rRNA from 1 species
CUUAACACAUGCAAGUCGAGGGGCAGCAUGGUCUUAGCUUGCUAAGGCUGAUGGCGACCGGCGCACGGGUGAGUAACACGUAUCCAACCUGCCGUCUACUCUUGGCCAGCCUUCUGAAAGGAAGAUUAAUCCAGGAUGGCAUCAUGAGUUCACAUGUCCGCAUGAUUAAAGGUAUUUUCCGGUAGACGAUGGGGAUGCGUUCCAUUAGAUAGUAGGCGGGGUAACGGCCCACCUAGUCAACGAUGGAUAGGGGUUCUGAGAGGAAGGUCCCCCACAUUGGAACUGAGACACGGUCCAAACUCCUACGGGAGGCAGCAGUGAGGAAUAUUGGUCAAUGGGCGAUGGCCUGAACCAGCCAAGUAGCGUGAAGGAUGACUGCCCUAUGGGUUGUAAACUUCUUUUAUAAAGGAAUAAAGUCGGGUAUGCAUACCCGUUUGCAUGUACUUUAUGAAUAAGGAUCGGCUAACUCCGUGCCAGCAGCCGCGGUAAUACGGAGGAUCCGAGCGUUAUCCGGAUUUAUUGGGUUUAAAGGGAGCGUAGAUGGAUGUUUAAGUCAGUUGUGAAAGUUUGCGGCUCAACCGUAAAAUUGCAGUUGAUACUGGAUGUCUUGAGUGCAGUUGAGGCAGGCGGAAUUCGUGGUGUAGCGGUGAAAUGCUUAGAUAUCACGAAGAACUCCGAUUGCGAAGGCAGCCUGCUAAGCUGCAACUGACAUUGAGGCUCGAAAGUGUGGGUAUCAAA